rnacentral:lncRNA from 1 species
UGGUAACAAACCCGACCAGUAUCCAUGAGAACUCCGUUUUGAUCCCUGGCCUUGUUCAGUGGGUUAAGGAUACGCUGUUGCUUCAAACUGUGGUGUAGGCUGGCAGUUGCAGGUCUGAUUGGACCCCUAGCCUGUGAACUUCCAUAUGCUGCAGGUGUGGCCAUAAAAAAGAAAAAAAAAAGAAGAAAAAUGUACUAGAAGACAGACUUUGUAACAAUGUAAUUGCAGGCAUGACAUCCCAUCAUUUGCCAUAUUCUAUUGGUUAGAAACAGGUCAAAAGUCCCAGAGACAGUCAAGGGGAGGGGGGUCAUAAAAGGACAUAUAAAUAUUAGAAGAUGAGGAUUAUUGGGGGUCAUCUUAUUUUUUCUGCCACAGAAGGGAACUUGCUUAGCCCAAUAAAGAGCAUUUAUGAAAAACCUAUAAAUAACAUCUUAAUGGUGAAAGAAUGACUGCCUUCCUCCAAGAUUGGGAGCAAGGAGUUCCCUGGCGGCUCAGCAGAAGGACUGAACUUCUUGCUGGUUGUUGGCUGGAGGUUGCCCUCAGCUCCCUGUUACACGGAACUCAACAUGGCUGCUUGCUUCUUCAAGGCCAGCACUGGUGAGUGUCUCAAGGAAUUCUAGGAGUUCCCCUUGUGGCUCAGUGGUAACAAACCCGACCAGUAUCCAUGAGAACUCCGUUUUGAUCCCUGGCCUUGUUCAGUGGGUUAAGGAUACGCUGUUGCUUCAAACUGUGGUGUAGGCUGGCAGUUGCAGGUCUGAUUGGACCCCUAGCCUGUGAACUUCCAUAUGCUGCAGGUGUGGCCAUAAAAAAGAAAAAAAAAAGAAGAAAAAUGUACUAGAAGACAGACUUUGUAACAAUGUAAUUGCAGGCAUGACAUCCCAUCAUUUGCCAUAUUCUAUUGGUUAGAAACAGGUCAAAAGUCCCAGAGACAGUCAAGGGGAGGGGGGUCAUAAAAGGACAUAUAAAUAUUAGAAGAUGAGGAUUAUUGGGGGUCAUCUUAUUUUUUCUGCCACAGAAGGGAACUUGCUUAGCCCAAUAAAGAGCAUUUAUGAAAAACCUAUAAAUAACA